CCCAGGCGUCUCUUUGUAAAAAAGCAGUGAUGCGCAUAUGACGAGUUUACAUGAAGUAUUGUAGUGGGGAGAGAUGGGCGAAGGGGCUGAUGGGAGGAGUGCACUUGAACUGCGAGACGCCUGGCAGUUCUUGGUCGAUUUCUUGCAGCUUUGGACGAUUUCUUGCAAGUUGUGAUAUUUCGUUGUCGUUUACGAUUUUUUGCUUCUUGUUUUCUGUUGAAUUGACUCAUGUUAAUAUUCUUCUGUCAUCUGGGCGUGAAUUCAUGCUGUUAUUCUUGGUAUAUAUGACAUAUGCCUUAUUUAAAGUCCAUGGAAAUUCCAAUAUUAACAUGUCAACAACCGAAGCGUUGAAGAACUAGACUUGCAGGAACUAGAUUUGUAAGCUAUAACUAUAUAAAGGUACAAACUAUAAAAUUGCACUGUUGUAAUAAAUAUUUCAAACUUUACGGCUGUGAACUUUUAUUUACUUGGACAUUUGUUUACAGUAUACAUUUAAUAGAAAUUGCCAUUGGCAUUGUGAUCGACUGAUCGAGCCUUAAGCUAAAGAAGUUAUUAAUACAAAAGCAAUUAUAUGACUUUCUAAUCAUUUCUCUGUUUCUGUUUUAUACUAAGCAACUGAUAGCAUCCUAUUAUUCUCCAUGUAAUACCGAAUGACAUGUAAUAUGCAAUUAUUCUCCAUGUAAUACGUACCGAACCAUGCAUAUUCGAAAUAUUCGCACGGUUAACUUGCCAUGUAAUUUACUCAUAAUUUUUCGCGCAUUUUGUAUGUCUUCAAACAUCUACAAAUUUAUUAUUAUUUGCCAAUGGCGUUCAAUUCGAUUCUUCGUCAGAAAAUAAGGUUUUACACACAGAGUAUAUGACGAUUUAGUAACGUUUUGU
rnacentral:lncRNA from 1 species